GAUGAACGCUGGCGGCAUGCCUAACACAUGCAAGUCGAACGAACGGACGAUAAGCUUUCUCCUUUGCUGUUAGCGAGGGACGGAUGAGUAACACGUGGAUCACCUACCUAUAAUACUUGGAUAACUUCGUGAAGCCAGUGAUAAUACCACAUAAUACGUUGAACCGCUUGGUUCAAGAGUUCAAGGCGGCUUUCCUGUCACUUAUAGCUGAAUCCGCGCUGCAUUAGCUAGUUGGUAAGGUAACGGCUAACCAAGGCAACGAUGCAUAGCCGAUCUGAGAGGAUGAUCAGCCACACUGGAACUGAGACACGGUCCAGACUCCUACGGGAGGCAGCAGUGGGGAAUCUUGCACAAUGGGCGCAAGCCUGACGCAGCAAUGCCGCGUGAGUGAAGAAGGUCUUCGGGUCGUAAAGCUCUUUUGUUAGGGAAGAAAAUAAGUGGAUGUAUAUCUCCAUAUCCUGACGGUACCUAAAGAGAAAGCCCCGGCUAACUUCGUG
rnacentral:rRNA from 1 species